GAUUGCAUUUUUCUCCUCUCUGCAAUCGCGGCUG
rfam:Tannerella sp. CAG:51 genomic scaffold, scf318